AGGCUGCUAGGGGCAGGGAUGGAAGGAGAGUCCUACCAAGAGGAAAGCAGACCUAGAAUGUAAAUAGUACAAAUCUAAACUGUUUCUCACAUCCCCUGUCCUGCUUUUCUCCAGGAAUUGACUAACUGCCAAGCAGCUUCAAGGGUGAGAAGAUGGAAGGAACAGCGGUGAUUUGAAUUUCUGCCUUUGGAGGCAGUUGCUUGCUUCUGGGAAUGUGGAUCUUCAGUAAAGCCGUAGAUGCUUCUCGCCAUUACUUUACUCACCAAGCAGAUGUAAGAAAAUUAAGAAGAACAGCAGAGUCUUCAUUUCACAGCCUACUGCUUGCACUUCGUCUCUUCUUGGUCUCCCAGUGAACUUUGGACCACUCGUAUCACAUGACACCUGGGAAUUUGAAAGGGACUAUGCAUAAAAAAGAGGCUCAGUAUGAGGACACUCAAAGGAAAAUAUUUUCUUUACUUAAAGCACAGAAUCUUCAGGUGCUUUCCUAUGUCCCUGUUGUAGUGU